CACGACUCUCGGCAACGGAUAUCUCGGCUCUCGCAUCGAUGAAGAACGUAGCGAAAUGCGAUACCUGGUGUGAAUUGCAGAAUCCCGCGAACCAUCGAGUCUUUGAACGCAAGUUGCGCCCGAGGCCAUUCGGYCGAGGGCACGCCUGCCUGGGCGUCACGCC
rnacentral:rRNA from 1 species